CCCCUUUCGGGGUCACACCUGGAGAAUUUCCAGUAGUCUACUAGUCUCAACUACGGGAGGGAGAGUCAAGCAGAGGCAUAUCCAUUCCAUUCCUAGCUUAGGCAGUGGCUAGCAAGUGGAAGGCAAUCUGCUACAAGA
rnacentral:snoRNA from 1 species